UACGUAGGGCGCAAGCGUUGUCCGGAAUUAUUGGGCGUAAAGAGCUCGUAGGCGGUCUGUCGCGUCUGCCGUGAAAACCCGAGGCUUAACCUCGGGCUGGCGGUGGAUACGGGCAGACUAGAGGUAGGUAGGGGAGAAUGGAAUUCCCGGUGUAGCGGUGAAAUGCGCAGAUAUCUGGAGGAACACCGGUGGCGAAGGCGGUUCUCUGGGCCUUACCUGACGCUGAGGAGCGAAAGCGUGGGGAGCGAACAGG
rnacentral:rRNA from 1 species